AUUGAACGCUGGCGGCAGGCCUAACACAUGCAAGUCGAGCGGAUGAAGGGAGCUUGCUCCUGGAUUCAGCGGCGGACGGGUGAGUAAUGCCUAGGAAUCUGCCUGGUAGUGGGGGAUAACGUCCGGAAACGGGCGCUAAUACCGCAUACGUCCUGAGGGAUAAAGUGGGGGAUCUUCGGACCUCACGCUAUCAGAUGAGCCUAGGUCGGAUUAGCUAGUUGGUGGGGUAAAGGCCUACCAAGGCGACGAUCCGUAACUGGUCUGAGAGGAUGAUCAGUCACACUGGAACUGAGACACGGUCCAGACUCCUACGGGAGGCAGCAGUGGGGAAUAUUGGACAAUGGGCGAAAGCCUGAUCCAGCCAUGCCGCGUGUGUGAAGAAGGUCUUCGGAUUGUAAAGCACUUUAAGUUGGGAGGAAGGGCAGUAAGUUAAUACCUUGCUGUUUUGACGUUACCAACAGAAUAAGCACCGGCUAACUUCGUG
rnacentral:rRNA from 1 species